rnacentral:rRNA from 1 species
UAGGGAAUCUUCCGCAAUGGACGCAAGUCUGACGGAGCAACGCCGCGUGAGUGAAGAAGGAUUUCGGUUCGUAAAACUCUGUUGUUAGAGAAGAACAGCGCAUAGAGUAACUGUUAUGCGUGUGACGGUAUCUAACCAGAAAGCCACGGCUAACUACGUGCCAGCAGCCGCGGUAAUACGUAGGUGGCAAGCGUUGUCCGGAUUUAUUGGGCGUAAAGCGAGCGCAGGCGGUCAAUUAAGUCUGAUGUGAAAGCCCCCGGCUCAACCGGGGAGCGUCAUUGGAAACUGGUUGACUUGAGUGCAGAAGAGGAGAGUGGAAUUCCAUGUGUAGCGGUGAAAUGCGUAGAUAUAUGGAGGAACACCAGUGGCGAAGGCGACUCUCUGGUCUGUAACUGACGCUGAGGCUCGAAAGCGUGGGUAGCAAACAGG